rnacentral:sRNA from 1 species
CAACCCACUCUCUGUGCUAUGACUUCAUUACUCUUUCCCAGCCCAGCCCUGGGCAAGCCCCUUACGAAGUCUCAGGCUACCUGGAUGACCACCCUUUCUUAUGAUGCUGCAAGGAGGGCAGGUGGGCAGAGCCCCGUGCAUCCUGGGCUCAGGCCAGGGACCCAAGAGCUUGGGAGAAGCUGGUUCUCAGACUGAAGGCCAGAGCCCAGCACCUUGUCACCAUCCCGGGGAGCAUCAUGGCACACAACAACCAGAGCCAAGGUGAUUGGGCUUGGGGGCUCAGGAGGAGGCAGAAAAGAGAGAAGAGCUCAAUAUGGGCCUGAAGAUGUGCAGCUGCAUUCGUUAUUGUUCAGCUAAGAUGCAUUGAGCUCUGCGUGGGGCACUGUGCUAGGCACUCAGAUACCAUCCCACUUCACUGAGAUCCUGAUGCUAUCUCCUCCUGCCUGGGGGAGUUCAUCCCUGACUCAAACCUUGUUUUAUGUACCCAGUGGUGCCACUGCACUCCAGCCUGGGUGACAGAGCAAGACUCUGUCUCAAUAAAAAAAAAAAAAAAAGAAGUAUAAGACCCUCACCCUUUCCCUCAGUCAAGGACUAGGUCUCUAAGAAAGAAGCCAUUGUCCUUAAGCUGGGCUGAGAGCAGCAAGGCUGCUCAUCUCACCUCUCCCCACCCAGCCAUGCCAGCCGCCUCACCUGGUGGGGAGAGGUGGGCCUCACCUGGGUCCCCUGGCAGUGCUCUGUGAAGGGUCUUGACAUUGCACUGUAAUAAUAAAGGUGUGUGUGAAGUAU